rnacentral:rRNA from 1 species
CCCCUAGACGUUCUGGGCUGCACGCGCGCUACAAUAAUACGCACAGCGAGUAUCACCGAGCUCGAAAGGGCAAGGUAAACAAUAGAAAAGGUACUGUAAUGGUUAUAGAUCCUUGUAAUUAUUGAUCUUCAACGAGGAAUUCCUAGUAAGUAUGUGUCAUCAUCACGCACUGAUUACGUCCCUGCCCUUUGUACACACCGCCCGUCGCUCCUACCGAUUGGGUGAGCCGAUGAAACUCUCGGAUGUAGGCUAUACAUAGCCCGCAGAAGAGAUUUGAAUCGUAGCGCUUAGAGGAAGGAGAAGUCGUAACA